rnacentral:rRNA from 1 species
UACGUAGGGUGCGAGCGUUCAUCGGAAUUACUGGGCGUAAAGCGUGCGCAGGCGGUUUUGUAAGCCAGAUGUGAAAUCCCCGGGCUUAACCUGGGAAUGGCAUUUGGGACUGCAAGGCUGGAGUUUGGCAGAGGAGACUGGAAUUCCCGGUGUAGCAGUGAAAUGCGUAGAUAUCGGGAGGAAUACCGAUGGCGAAGGCAGGUCUCUGGGCUAUAACUGACGCUCAUGCACGAAAGCGUGGGGAGCAAACAGG